AUUUGGAUGGAAAGAGCAGUUACACUGUACUUCUGGGAAUCUAUUAGCCAAGUUUGCUGUGCUUGACACGAGUGCGAGGCCUCACCUUACUUGCUGACUGGACUAGCCCAACAGGUUCUACAGAAUAAACCCCAUUCUGUCUCAGCUGUGGAGAUCAAUGAAAAGACUCUGUCUUCUUGCCGCCAGAUAUGUUACCUGCACUUAGAGAAUUGAAAGUGCAAAUCAAAGGAGUGUUCUUUUGGGAAGAGAGUUUUAGCGGAAAGGUCUGGAUGCUGGUGAACUGAUGAGGAAGCAGCAGUUAUUUCUGAGAUUUAACUUUGACCUGGGCUUUGAAGAGACACCCAUUCACCACUGUUGCAACUGCAUGCUUCCAGGAACUGGAGAGCAGAAGAACUUACAACUUUUGAUGAAUUCAUCAAGCAAAAGUAUUUUCCAUUUAAGGAGAUUUUGAGAUUCAGCUUUUCUGUGACCCCGGAUGAGAAAAGAUUAAGUUGGUAACUCCAAGGAUGACGUAAGUAAUUGGGUAUAUUUUAGAGUUGGAUUUCAUGAACAACUAGCCUGUCAUGUCAUCUUGUAAAUAUCUUUGUGUAUUAACCCCAUUGCUCCAAGAAAUUAUGUGCCUCUAAUGUUGAUGCUGAUAGGAAAUCUCUCAGCUGGGGCAGGCUCUGGGAGCCAACCAAAGGCACAUACUAACCAAAGCCCCUCUCAUUUUGACCUCAAUGUUCUAAUCCUGCACUUCUUAACAAAAUCUCUCUCCUUAUCUUUUGUAUAACUCCAGUGGAAUAAUUUCCAUUGAAUUGCAUGACAGAGUCUAUUUAUGGGGUUUAGGAUUCUCUAUUGGAUUUUUAGGUAUCACAAUCAAUUUCGUAAC